AGCGGAUGAGAGGAGCUUGCNNNNNUUCAGCGGCGGACGGGUGAGUAAUGCCUAGGAAUCUGCCUGGUAGUGGGGGNNACGUUUCGAAAGGAACGCUAAUACCGCAUACGUCCUACGGGAGAAAGCAGGGGACCUUCGGGCCUUGCGCUAUCAGAUGAGCCUAGGUCGGAUUAGCUAGUUGGUGAGGUAAUGGCUCACCAAGGCGACGAUCCGUAACUGGUCUGAGAGGAUGAUCAGUCACACUGGAACUGAGACACGGUCCAGACUCCUACGGGAGGCAGCAGUGGGGAAUAUUGGACAAUGGGCGAAANNNGAUCCAGCCAUGCCGCGUGUGUGAAGAAGGUCUUCGGAUUGUAAAGCACUUUAAGUUGGGAGGAAGGGCAGUAAAUUAAUACUUUGCUGUUUUGACGUUACCGACAGAAUAAGCACCGGCUAACUCUGUGCCAGCAGCCGCGGUAAUACAGAGGGUGCAAGCGUUAAUCGGAAUUACUGGGCGUAAAGCGCGCGUAGGUGGUUCGUUAAGUUGGAUGUGAAAUCCCCGGGCUCAACCUGGGAACUGCAUUCAAAACUGUCGAGCUAGAGUAUGGUAGAGGGUGGUGGAAUUUCCUGUGUAGCGG
rnacentral:rRNA from 1 species